AACGCACCUUGCGCUCCUUGGUAUUCCGAGGAGCAUGCCUGUUUGAGUGUCAUGAAAAUCUCAACUCUACUGGCUUUUAUUUUAUAAGCUAGUCUGGCUUGGAUUUGUGGGAGUUGCUGAUCCUUAUUAUUAUAUAUGAUUCAGCUCUUCUUAAAAGCAUUAGCAAAAUAGACUGCUAAAACUCGCUUGAUAUGAUAACCAUCAAUAUCAUUGAGAUCCUGCAUGUGGAUUUUGCUUCCAAUUGUGUCUGCAUAAGACAUAUAUAAUAAAUAUUUGACAAUUUUGACCUCAAAUCAGGUAGGACUACCCGCUGAACUUAA
rnacentral:misc_RNA from 1 species